rnacentral:tRNA from 1 species
GCAUUCGUGGCUCAGUGGUAGAGUUCUCACCUUCCGUGUGCGAGACCCAGGUUCAGUCCCCAGCCAAUGCA